GCCCCGAUAGCUCAGCGGAUAGAGCGCUUGCCUCCGGUGCAAGAGGUCGCAGGUUCGAGUCCUGUUCGGGGUGCCA
rnacentral:tRNA from 11 species